rfam:Streptomyces sp. NBRC 110027 DNA, contig: TPA059806.
CAGCGCACUCCGGGGUCGGUGUAAUUCCGAACCGGCGGUAACAGUCCGCGACCCGUCCGCAGCCAGCGGCCGGUUGAGCAGGUGAAAUUCCUGCACCGACGGUGAAAGUCCGGAUGGGAGGCAGUGCGCGG